rnacentral:rRNA from 1 species
UACGUAGGAGGCGAGCGUUGUCCGGAGUUACUGGGCGUAAAGGGUGCGCAGGCGGUGGCCCGCGUGGGCGGUGAAAGCUCCUGGCUCAACUGGGAGAGGGCCGUCCAGACGGGGUCACUUGAGGGGCGGAGAGGGGCGUGGAAUUCCGGGUGGAGCGGUGAAAUGCGUAGAGAUGUGGAGGAACACCGAUGGCGAAGGCAGCCUUCUGGGCCAACACUGACGCUCAUGCACGAAAGCGUGGGGAGCAAACAGG